rnacentral:lncRNA from 1 species
UAUUAAAAAAAAUCAUGACAGCUGUGAUGGAAACAGGAAGCUUUAGUACAAUUUUAUAAAUGCAGACAGAUAAUUUGUUGUUUGACAAGGUGGGAUCUUUUUGUGUCAAUAAAAUGUAUUAUGCGAGAAAUGGUGGUGGAAAUGCCUUUAUGAUGGUCCAUUCCAAUAAAUAUUGAAGGUCUUAUUCUAGUGACAUGACGAUUGAUGGUUGACUGCCGUUUGACAAAUAAAAAUAUUCUCGCUCUAAUCCAUAAUAAUCUCAUCAUGUAGACUAACCUACCUGCACCACCUGCCUGCACCGUAUCUGCGAGCUGUUGACUGACUAGAGCACGGUGCAUUUGCUAUUUAACUCAACAGUUUUUAUAUUUUAGCCAUUUAGCUGACACUCUUAUCCAGAGUGACUUAUUGUAGUGAGUGCAGACAUUUUCAAACUUUUCUUCCAUACUGUUUUUUGUAACAGUUGAAAGUGCGAUGGGUUGAAAGUGCGAUGGAAACACAUUGAACUUUAUAGAUGUUUAUUCAGAACAUGAAAACUUAAGCGAAAAAGUACAUUUUGUGUGCACUACGUCAUCACACUGAUUUUUAUCUGCAACAAGUCAGUUUGGUGGAAACACACCACUGGUGGGGAAAUGUGCUUAUGUUCUUCAUGCAGAUUUUAGAAUAUUAGCAUAAAAAUCUGUUGCCAACUGGACGGAAACCUAGCUAUUGUUUAAGGUAGAUUUGUGGCAGUGCUUUUCUAACCAGGGGGGUGUAUGUGUUUCAGAGUAUGUGGGUUUUUAAUGAAAAUAGCUAGGCAGACAACGGUAUACAGUAUCUUUGACAAACAAAAGCAGACAAAGUCAUACUACAGGAGAUGUCAUCCCUUUUAGAGCAGGCCUACACAUAAUGGGUUUAACAGAGAGAGGGAGAGAGGACAAAUUAGUGCCAAGGAAGUGUAUUGGCGACAUCAGGGUUGUGUAAGAAUGCAAGUGAAGUACAGAAAACAUAAGUUGUUACACAAUUGGUGUGACUCAGGCAUGAUUUAAAAGGGAAAAGGAAAGGGGGAUACCUAGUCAGUUGCACAACUGAAAUGUGUCUUCUGCAUUUAACCCAACCCCUCUGAAUCAGAGAGGUGUAGGGGAGCUGCCUUAAUCGACAUCCACGUCUUCAGCGCCCGGGGAACAGUGGGUUAAUUGCCUUGCUCAGAGGCAGAACGACAGAUUUUUACGUUGUCAGCUCGGGGAUUCGAUCCAGCAACCUUUCAGUUACUGGCCCAACGCUCCUACCCGCCGGGCUACAAAAAGCCUGUGUACCACAUGUGCAGCACACGUGGAACCACUCAUCGCCACAUAUCACAGUGGUGUAGGCAUAAUUCUUUGCAUCCCAGGUGAACUGUAAAAAUUGACAACACUUUUUUUGUGUGUAUUUCCAUUCUGACAGACUACAUAAUGAUAACAACACCCAGUCAUCAAACUCAAUGAGAUAAUUUGUGUGUCAGUGUGUGUGUGCAUGUGCAUGUUUGUGUGCUCCUCUCCAGGUAGAGUGCUCCUCUAGGUAGAGUACUCCUCUCUAGGUAGAGUGCUCCUCUCUAGGUAGAGUGCUCCUCUAGGUAGAGUACUCCUCUCUAGGUAGAGUGCACCUCUCUAGGUAGAGUGCUCCGCUCUAGGUAGAGUGCUCCUCUCUAGGUAGAGUGCUCCUCUAGGUAGAGUACUCCUCUCUAGGUAGAGUGCUCCUCUCUAGGUAGAGUGCUCCUCUCUAGGUAGAGUGCUCCUCUCUAGGCAGAGUACUCCUCUCUAGGUAGAGUAGUCCUCUCUAGGCAGAAUACUCCUCUCUAGGUAGAGUACUCCUCUCUAGGUAGAGUACUCCUCUCUAGGUAGAGUGCUCCUCUCUAGGUAGAGUACUCCUCUCUAGGUAGAGUGCUCCUCUCUAGGUAGAGUACUCCUCUCUAGGUAGAGUACUCCUCUCUAGGUAGAGUGCUCCUCUCUAAGUAGAGUACUCCUCUCUAGGUAGAGUACUCCUCUCUAGGUAGAGUGCUCCUCUCUAGGUGAAUGCUACUUCUUCCUCAUCAGGGUCCUACUUUUAGCCAGAGCUAUUUGUUUUUGCACUCUGUUACUAAGCAACAUCACAGACCCUUCUCACAGAAAGGCCGUUAUGAAAACAUGUGUACAGUGGAGGAAAGGGCAUACUUAGUCAGUUGCACAACUGAAUGCAUUCAACUGAAAUGUGUCUUCCUCAUUUAACCCAACUCAUCUGAAUCAGAGAGGUGCGGGGGGCUGCCUUAAUCGACGUCCACGUCAUCGGCACCCAAGGAACAGUUUUUGUUGAGGGUUAACUGCCUUGCUCAAUGGCAGAACGGCAGAUUUGUCCACCUUGCCGGCUCGGGGUGUGUGUGUGUAUGGGCGUGUGUGUGUCAGACCUGGGUUCAAAUGCUAUUUAGGAAUUUAAAUUACUUUCAAAGACAUUUGGAAGAAAGUGUUAGGAUAUACAGUGCAUUCGGAAAAUAUUCAGUCCCCUUGACUUUUUGUUACGUUACAGCCUUAUUCUAAAACGUAUUACAUUGUACCGCCAUAAUAACAAAGCAAAAACAAUUUAUCAAUUUUAACAAAUGUAUAAAAUAUUAAACUGAAAUAUCACAUUUGCAUAAGUAUUCAGACCCUUUACUUUGUUGAAGCACCUUUAGCAGUGAUUACAGCUUUGAGUCUUCUUGGGUUUGAUGCUACAAGCUUGGUACACCUGUAUUUGGGGAGUUUCUUCCAUUCUUCUCUGCAGAUCCUCUUAAGCUCUGUCAGGUUGGAUAGGGAGUGUCGCUGCACAGCUAUUUUCAGGUCUCUCCAGAGAUGUUCAAAUCGGGUUAAAUUCCGGGGUCUGGCUGGGCCACUCAAGGACAUUCAGAGACUUGUCCCGAAGCCACUCCUGCAUUGUCUUGGCUGUGUGCUUAGGGUCAUUGUUGUGUUGGAAGGUGAACCUUCACCCCAGGCUGAUGUCCUGAGUGCUCUGGAGCAGGUUUUCAUCAAGGAUCUCUGUACUUUGCUCCAUUCAUCUUUCCCUCAAUCCUGACUAGUCUCAGAGUCCCUGCCCCUGAAAAACAUCCCUACAGCAUGAUACUGCCACCACCAUGCUUCACCGUAGGGAUGGUGCCACAUUUUCUCCAGACGUGACACUUGGCAUUCAGGCCAAAAAGUUCAAUCUGGUUUCAUUAGACCAGAGAAUCUGGUUUCUCAUGGUCUGAGAGUCUUGAGGUGCCUUUUGGCAGACUCCAAGUGGGCUGUCAUGUGCCUUUUACUGAAGAGUGGCUUCUUUCUGUCCACUACCGUAAAGGCCUGAUUAGUGGAGUGCUGCAGAGAUGGUUGUCCUUCUGGAAGGUUCUCCCAUCUCCACAGAGGAAUUCUGGAGCUCUGUCAGACUGACCAUCGGGUUCUUGGUCACCUCCCUGACCAAGGCCCUUCUCCCCCGAUUGCUCAGUGUGGCCGGGCGGCCAGCCCUAGAAAGAGUAUUGGUGGUUCCAAACUUCUUCCAUUUUAGAAUGAUGGAGGCCACUGUAUUCUUGGGAUCUUAAAUGCUGCAGAAAUGUUUUGGUACCCUUCCCCAGAUCUGUGCCUCGACAAAAUCCUGUCUCGGAGCUCUACGGACAAUUCCUUUGACCUCAUGGCUCGGUUUUUGCUCUGACAUGCACUGUCAACUGUGGGACCUCAUAUAGACAGAUGUGAGCCUUUCCAAGUCAUGUCCAAUCAAUUGAAUUUACCACAGGUGGACUCCAAUCAAGUUGUAGAAACAUCUCAAGGAUGAUCAAUGGAAACAGGAUGCACCUGAGCUCAAUUUCGAAUCUCAUAGCAAAGGGUCUGAAUAC